UUGUUGAGGUUUGUGUUAGAAAUGUUCAGAAGGAACAUUCUAGAACCAUUUUCUCGCUGCAUGUCACUGGGACUGCAUCGCACAUGGCUAAAUACAUGGAAAUUGUGAAACUUUCUACUUAGUUGAGAUUAAGUCAUGGGGUUUUCGGAAUUCUCAAGCUCUGGGGCCAAAAUCUGGGGCACCACUGGAUUUUCAUGAAUUUAAAAUGAUUGGGUCUUAAGUUUUCAAAAGUCAAAUCUAAGGCAAACAUAUCAGAGAGCUAUGUUCCUCUACCUCUGGAGGGACAACUUAAGCUCCCAGUUCAGUGCGUGGAUAAUCCAGAGGGACAUGAGGUUAUGGUGGUAUAUGAAUCUGAGAUGUUCCCCAUGACUAAACAGUCUGCAAGGCAGAAAGAUAAAAUUAUCAUGGAGCCAUGAUGAGGUUUGCUUGCCAUGCCUUACCAGAGAAUUAAGAUGGAAAGGAUCCACAAUGACUCUCCAAAUUCCAAUAAAAUCAAACGAUAUAUAAAACAGACAUUUAAU